GCUAUGAAUUUAGACACAGCAUCUCUUUUAAUCCCCAUAACCAAUGCUUAGGCAGGGACUGUCAUUAGUUUUCCCAUUUUUCUCAGGAGCUAGAAAUGGAGAGAUGUGAAAUAGCUUACCAAAGGUCAUAAAUUUAUAUGUGAAAGAUUGAUGGAUUGAGACAGAGCGAGAGACUGAGGCAAUCGCGCCGAAACUGCCUUUAAUGUGGACUCCAACGCGGGCUGCAUAGAUGGCAAAGCAGCACGCUAUCUAAGCGAGCUAUUUUGCCAAUCCUCAUCUCAGUCCCUUACCUUCUCCCACUUCCUGCCACAGCACCUACGAUGAGGGAAAACGGCCAGCUUCUUUUCACCAGAACCCCCACGAGAAUUCUCGGAUGGAUGGAUGAAUGGAUGGAUGGAUGGAUGGAUGGAUGGAUGGAUGGAUGGAUGGCAGUGAAUCAGUGCCAAUCAGGGCUCCAAGUCUCGUGUACUGCUGGAGCUGAGAACAAGGCCAGGCCAGGCAAGGCAUGGUCCACCUGUUUCCAGUGCUCUGGGGAGACAGAUUGUCUAGCAGUUUGUGAGUGAUUCUAUAUUAAGAAAUUCCCCAACAGAGCUGGGGAAAUAGCUCACUGGAUAGUACCCUGCUUUGGCAUGCUGUGACUCAGGUUCAAACCCAGUUCCCACCCUAUUGAAGGAAACUUCAGUGCUGUGGUGUCUCUCUCUCUCUCUCUCUCUGUCUCUAUCUUAAAAAUAAGUAAAUAAAUUCCCCAACAUAAUUUUGAAAGAAAACUGAAAAUCAAAAAAAUAAAAUAAAAUAAAUGAGGGAUGGUAGACUAUAACAUCGUAAAUGAUUCCAUUGGAAAUGGAAAGCGAAUGUACGUCAGAUUCAGCAUCCACAGAAGUCAGUGUGACUGCAGAAGGGACUCCUGAAGGGACCAGACUUUCUAAGGACUCACAGAAAUAAAUAAAUGGAGAACAGGACAUGUAAUUCAGGACAACAGUCUAGCUACAACCAGUGGAUAUAAUGUAGCAUUGAGCCUGAAUGGGGUGGGGGAGGGAGUGAUCUGAAGAGCAAGAGAGAAGGCUUUGAAAGCCAUUUCUUUUGGACUGAGGACAAGGCCGCUUCUUGGCUGAAAGCAAUCACUGAUGUACUUAGGAGUUGGAAGGUUAUUACGGAACCAUUGGCGUUUAUUGAGAACCCAUGAAGAACAAAUGUUGGUUCAUUUUCUGUGGAGGAAUAGAGAGGUUUGUGGUGCCAGUGGCCACGGCACACCAUGUAAAGCUUAGUUUCUGGAAAUAUCUCAUGGAUAAGAUAUAGAAACAUGGACUAGAUGAUCAAGUCCAUUUAGUGUCUGUGACAGCCUCCCCCUGCAAAGAAAAGGCCCUAGUGGGAAGCCAGGUGGCUGUGUUCUUCCUCCAGGCUCGUCUGACAUUUGGAUGUUUUAAUAUUAUACAAAGGUACAGAAUGAACAUUGAUCGGUUCCACAGAAACCCACAGUCUAGGAAAAAUAUGUCAGAUGGAUUAAAAAUAGUCAGAAGAUUUCCCUUGGCUAGAACAAAAAUAAGCAAGAUGAUAUUUAACAAUAUGCAAAUACAAUCUUUGAAUUAGGCUAAGAAAAAGACUAGUUGUCGAAACCGUAGUCAUCAAACUUCAACACCAAUGGUGUGGAAAGACCAGAUAUGUUCACACGUUCGUAAAAGGCCAGUGGAGAUAUAGCCUGGAGGCUCUCCUUACUCCAUUUAAUGUCUCCCCCCCCCCCCC